rnacentral:rRNA from 1 species
GACGAACGCUAGCGGCGUGCUUAACACAUGCAAGUCGAACGAUGAACCCGGAGCUUGCUCCGGCGGAUUAGUGGCGAACGGGUGAGUAACACGUGAGUAACCUGCCCUUGACUCUGGGAUAACUGCUAGAAAUGGUAGCUAAUACCGGAUACGACCCUCGGCGGCAUCGCCAGGGGGUGGAAAGAACUUCGGUCAAGGAUGGACUCGCGGCCUAUCAGCUAGUUGGUGAGGUAACGGCUCACCAAGGCGACGACGGGUAGCCGGCCUGAGAGGGUGACCGGCCACACUGGGACUGAGACACGGCCCAGACUCCUACGGGAGGCAGCAGUGGGGAAUAUUGCACAGUGGGCGCAAGCCUGAUGCAGCAACGCCGCGUGAGGGAUGACGGCCUUCGGGUUGUAAACCUCUUUUAGCAGGGAAGAAGCGAAAGUGACGGUACCUGCAGAAAAAGCACCGGCUAACUACGUGCCAGCCGCCGCGGUAA